UCAAUAUUUACAAAAUGACCUAAACCUAAUUUGACGCAGACGCAGCUCCAUCUCACGGGAAGACGCAGCUCCAUCGCAUCUCGUUUCACGUAUCGACUCUAUCAUCUCCAUCUUCUCCGGCUCGAGCUCUCUCCUCUCCAUCUCCGACGCAGACCUCGAGAUUUCUCAUCUCCGACUCGAGCCCUCUCUUCUCUGACCCAGACCACGAGCUCUCUCAUCUCGGCUCGAGCUCUCUCUUCUCCGUCGCAAACCUCGAGCUCUCAUCUCUGACGCUGACCACGAGCUCUCUCAUCUCCUCCGAUUUGGGUUUCAAGUAUUGUUGAGACAAGAAGAAGCUGUUUUUGUGUUUCAUGAGUUUUUGAGAAUGGGUUUUGGAUCUGAUGGGGAUCCAAGAGAAUGGCUGAAGAGGUUGCCACUUGCUACUGAGUUAAGUGGAAAAGAGCUAUAAAUGAGACAUACUUUGUUGUUGAAGAAGUUUGGCAUCGCUGUUAACACCAAACGCAGGCGUUUACAACUUGUGAACGAGCUUUGGACAUGACUCAGGUUGUGGAAAGUGCAGAUGUUUGGUCUGGCCUUCACGCAUCAUUCCUUGUUGACAUCUCAGAAACCGUAUGGUUGGAGAAAAAGCAUGCCUACAGUUUUCUAACCAUCUUGUAGAAGUGUGUAAAUCUUCUUUUGUGUCUUUUCUUUUUCAUUUGUUUGUCUUUUGAUUUUGAAGAAGACAGCCAAACAUUGUGUAACUGAUGUAUUUUUCAGUCGAUAAAUUUUUGUACCCAUAAACAUGUAAACAUAAUCUCAACUGGCACAUCUAAUGAAAUCUGUUCACCAAAGUUACAGUCAAAUAAAAAGGAAAGAGUUGCAGUCAAAAUUCUGUUAUGGAAAGCAUCAUUACAUAAUAUUGAUGACUGAUUUGUAUAUAUAUGAGGAGAAUAUCCACUUAUAACUUUGAUAUAUUAUUUCUGUUUUAUUUAUUUAAAAUGUUUUAGUUAAUAACUUAGUUUUUCUUUGCUUAUAACUUAGAUUAUCAUUUCUACUUGAUAUUAAAAUAUUUGUUUUAUUUAUUUAAGAUUUGAUGUAUUAUUUAGCUUUUGUUUAAUGAUAAAUAUUUUGAAGUAUUAUUUUUGUUUUAACUUAGCUUAUAAUUUAUGAUAAAAAAAUAUUUUUAUAUUCGUAUAUUUGACCAAAAUUUUAUAUACCAAGUAAAAAUAAUAUUUUAAUGGAUGUAAAUAUAUUUAAAUUAUAUUUUUUAUUUAAAAUACAAUUUUACAAAUUUUUUAAAAUAAAAUAUGAAGGAAUAAAAAUGGCCGCAACGUCAAUCAAACGAACAACCCAAAAAUCUGUUUCCUGCGUCGGCAUCGGCGUCAACGUCAACUUCCUGCAUCUUCUAAACGAACAAUAAUCUGCGUCGGCGUCGGCGUCAGCGUCGGCGUCGACGUCUACGAAACGAACAACAACUAUUUUCAUUGACGCUGACGCCGACGCCGACGCCGACGCUGACGCCGAAAACUGCGUCGACCAAACGAACAGCACUUUACUGCAAGUGUUGUAGGAUUCAGAUGUUGAACUGCAAUUUCUAAGAAGAGAAAGCUAGUUAUGUUAACCCUGUUCUUUUGAUGAACGCUGCGUCUAGCAUCAGCGUCUUCUUUUAGCUCUGUAUUUCAGUCGCUUUACACACAAGACAUCGGAGAAUAAUGACACCGGUGUUAAUAAUAUUAGACGCAGUGGCAAUUUCCGAACAAUAACUGAUCGCUUAAAAUUCCAGCGCCUCUCAUUCUGGUGACUGUUCUUCACCACUGCGUCGACACUUCUUAGGCUCAAACCAUCCUCCGUGUCGUUUAAUUAUUGACGCUAAUAUUAGUCGCAGCGUCCAUUCUCCGAACAGGGCUGUUGUUACAAACUUUGUUUUCGCUAAUCGUAUGAGUACUUGUACAGAUGUGAUUUUAAGAUUAUGGCCAAGGUUAAAAGGAUAAACCACAGUGUUCAUUAGCGAUGGAGCAGAGCAAAGACCAUACAAAUUCCCAUCUUCAAAUCCACUUGUGUCAUUGAACGCGUUUGCAGAGCUGUUUGGGAUCUAAGUUUGUUUUCUCCAUCUAGUCAAUCUUGGACUGAAGCUUUAGUAGUUCUUUGUCAUGGGUAGAUAGUUAAUUUGCCUAAUGAAAGAGAAAUUAGUCAGAUCUCAUGAGCAAUAGAGAUGAAGACAUGAAGUUCAUGGCAUUUCACAUGGCAGUUCAUCUUUCAGAGUCACUUUAUGUUCAUGAGUGCUUACCUCAUCAUCUUCUUCGUCACCUAUAAUCCCUCAAAUUUUGUGUAUUUCCCUUUUACACUCCUUCGUGUUUUUGUGGAAAGGAACAACAACGACAACAGUUUUGACUCAGCCGAGGACAGUGAUUAUUACAAUAGAUCGAUAAGGCUUUUGUAAUGUUCGUCGGAAUUGUUCUAUUUUCAUCGGUAUUGUCCUCUUCUUGCCGGAAUUCCCUUUCUCUCCUCCAAAAUCGUCUAAAGAAUCGAAGUGUGAAAUUUUUGGGUUUCAAAAGACAAAAUCAAAUAUGUUUUCUAACGUCUCCGUCAAAAAAUUUAUAGUUGAUUUUAUCAAGUCUAAUUUUGCUCAAUCAACAUUCACUUGUUUGAAUGGUAAGCAAGGGAACGAAGAGAAACACUGCAUUCCUUAAUGUUCCUCAAAAAUGUUACCAUUCGUGAAGAAUAUUUUUUCCUCUUCAUUCCUUCUCAUUCAUUUUUUUGUAGAGAAUUAUAAUUCAAAUUUGUUCCUUGUUAAUUUUGAUAAGGAACCCUUGUUCCUCAUCGUUCACAAAAUUUUAUUCCUAUUCAUUAUUUUCCUUAUUAUUCCUAAUGUUUCUUGAUGGUUACCAGUCACACCCGAAGAUUAAAUCUGCACAAGUAGAAAUUGAAUAUUAAAAGUGCUGAUUAUAAAUACUUUGGGAAUUAAAAACCCAUUUUCCCAUAUAAGCAGUUAUAUAAUUCUUCCUUGCUGCCCGAUUUUUUUAAAGUAAGCAUUUAUAAUUAUAUGCAUAUAAGCAAUUAUAUAUUGCUUCCUUAUAUUUUAAAAGUUGGACUCAACUAUUAUCAGUUGAACAUGAUUCUAAUUUAAUAGUAUUGAUAACUAGAUUCUGACUCGCCCUUCAAAGGGCGGGUAUAUUUUUAUUAUAUAUAUAUUUUUAAAAUUUAUAUUUGUGUUUUUCUUUGUAAUCAUAUUUAUGUAUGUAUUUGUAAUCAUAUUUGUGUUUUUCUUUGUAAUCCUAUUCAUCAAAAUAAAAUGUAUUUUGUAAAUUUUGACCCAAUGUAAAUAAAAUCCACGUUACCUUUGAAAGCGCAGGAUUAACGUUUUGGCGAUAACUUUUUUUUAAUAUCUAAAUUUUUAAUUAUAUAUAUAAUUAAUGGUUACGUGAACUAUUUUAGUUGGCAUAUUAGAUGGAUUAAGAUUUUAGGCGAGAGUUUUGACCCGCAUAAAAUAUAAUAUAAUAUUAUUUUAAUUUAAAUAUUUACAGAAUUGUCAUUUUCAGUUUUGUUUCUCUCUUUAACGUUUAGUUUUUGAUUUUAUAUCUAUAAAUAGAAGGGGAGAAUAUAUUUUAUGUUAUAAAAUAUAAUCAAAGUUUAAUCCUAUUAAAUAUAAUUUUCAAUAUUCAUAACGUUUAGUUUUUGAUCUGUUAUUUUCACCUAUACAGUUAUUGUAAAUUUAAUUUGAUAUUUUUUUUUACUAAAUAACCUAUGUUAUUUUAAAUAAAUCUGAAAUCUGUAAGACUGAUCAAACAAUUUGUAUUACUAUAUUUGUAUCAAAGUAGGAUAAUACAUUUAUUUAAGUCAUCUCACUUAAUUUUAGUUUUAUGUUUAAAGUUAUAAAAUUUAAAUAAGAUAGUUCUUUUUUAUUUGCUCCUCUUAUUAGUAAAAACUUUGGCUAAAACUCAUAUAUGAUAAUUUUUACUCAAAAUAUAUUUAUAAAUAUUUUUUGUUAGGUAUUGAAUUACAAUAUUGAAACUGACAUUUAUAUGAAUUCUGAUUUAUCCAAGGUUGAUAGUUAGUAAUUGGGUGGUUAGUUAUUAAGUUUUUGAACUAUACGUUGAAAACAAACAGUUUUUUUUUGGUUAAAUAAAAAAUUGUGAAUAUUUCUAUGCAAUGAUUAAUUUAAUUUAUAACACUAUCCUACCUUUUGAUGCGUAUAUGUUUUGAAUAUAUUGAUUAAAAUACUAAAUAUAUUGAUUAUAUUUUAUUUGGAUUAAUGUAAAUGAAACAAAUAUAUUGAAAAAAAAAUCUUAAGAUUAAUAUUUGAUGUAUUAGACAUACUUGAUUUCUUUAUAUAUUAGUUUAAUAUAGUAAAAGAAUUUGUUAAUAUAUUUGUUUAUAUAUCCAAAUUUAUUUUGUUUUUAAUUGAAUAUUUCAGAUCGUAAUUUUAGAACUUAAAUAUCAAUCAAAACAUGUUCGAAUGACUUUUGUUAUUUAGACCUCAUUUUCAAAAUUCUCACGAAGAAUAGUGUCUACUUAUAGUAGUCAGUAUAUAAAAUAUUGCAGUUCUAAUAAUAAUCUAUGAAAAUUUAAGCCUUCUAUAAAAAAAAAUAUAAUACGAAAUCUUCCAAGUGUCCACAAUGUCUGAUAUACUUUGUUUUUAACAGUGUUGAUACUGAUAUAUAGUACGUGAAUUAAUGGUAGAAGUCAACCUAUUGUAAUUUCUUGCGCUGAUAUAUCUAUUAUAUGUUCCUUUAAUAUAGGGUUAGUGGGUUAGUUUACAAAAACAAAUAUAGGGUUAGUGGGUUACGGAUAUAUUAUUUGCUUAAAACUAAUAUGUAUGUCCACUUAUGUAAAGAAAAUAAAUAGUUGGACAUAACAUUUAUCAAUAGGUCAUGUUGCUGUUUUAAUAGAAUAGAUUUUUUUGUUAGGUUAUAGAGUCAAAUUACCGUGAAGAAAUCAAAUGAUAUCAUGCGGACUUUAUGAAUACACUGCCCCCGAUUUAUAAUAUCUAAACAAAUCAUAUAUUUUAUGUUGUUUAAUAAAUCAAAAUAUUGAAAUCUGAUCUAUUGGAGUGGAUUCAAUUUAUGCAAAUAUUAUUAUAAUAUUUGAAUUAUACAUGGAGUUCCAAAUUAUUCUAAAAUUUUGAAAUAAGUUAAAACUCUUAAACGAAUAUAUCCACUAAGUUAUAUGAAUGGUUAACUCAGGGCCGACUUAAUAUUGUUAAGGGCUCUACUGUAAAAAAAUUUCUUUUACUUUUCAAAAUUUAUGUUUAUUUAAUGUUAUAAAUAUAUUUUAUUUUUAUUGUUUCCCAAAUUUAGUUAGUAAUAUUUUGUGAUGAAAAAAAUUAUAUACAGAUAAAAUAUAUUUAGGCCCUUUUCAAUUUUAUUUAUUAUUUAUUAAAAUGUUUUUAUGUAAAAACAUGUAAUUAUAUAAAACAAUUAGACCCUUAAUUUUUUUUUAAUAUACGGGGACACAAAUUUGGACCCGUGGCGAUUACACCGUUUUUUUUCCUAAUCAGCUGGCAUUGGAUUUACUGGUUAAGAAAUAAGUUGAACUAAAAAAAUUGUGAUACUUAAUUUGAUUAAAUCUGAAUCACAUUUAGAACUCAAACAAUAAUGUAUUAUCUAACAAUACUUAAAGCAAGAUAUAAGGCCUUUUUAGCGUGUCCACGUCAGAGGGAAAAAUCGUCCAAUAGGAAACCUGCAUUCGGACACGUCAGCACGACUUUGGGUAAUGUUGGGCUUAAUUUUUCUAUUAUCCGAUUUGUUUGAUGAGACGGCCCGUUAAGCCCAAUAAACCGAACGAUGAUCGUUGUUCUUCGUCGUUUCCUCUCCUCUUCUUCUCCUCUAACUGAAAGUCGAUGACUCUCUCAAGCGCCUAUUGCGAUGACUUCCAUCAUUAUUUUACAUCCCAAAACGACGUCUCUCUUCACAUCUCAAGCUUCACUCUAUAAAUAGAUUCUGAUUCCUCUCUUCUCACCAACUCCUCAUACACGGCCAUGAACGAAUACAAAGUUGAUUUUUAAGUUCAUCAACUCCUGUGACGGAACACGGCAAGAUGAGGCCUCUCUCCCUCUGAAUUUCUGUAUAACUUUACAUUCUCUUCGGUCCGAGAUAAGCAGCAAUUUCAAUAUCGAUUUUAAUUUACGAACUCGGGCGGGCUCAAAGGUAACGAAGUUGAAAUUAAUAUGAGAGGUUUAAGAACUUCAUGAGCAAUUUGUUUACCCAUCUCAUUUAUGUCGGAGGCCGCGAUUCUAGGGUUCCUGCAGAACAACGAAUCAAUCUUAGAUUCCGGUCAAUUCACAGCUUAGCACAAUCUCGACCACGAAGAAGUCAAAAACGUCAUCAAGAGCUUACAAGGUUUCCGCUACAUCGAAGCUAAGGAGCUCAAACGGGAGACAUUGGUUUUGACUGAUGACGGGAAGAAAUAUGCGGCGGAAGGGUCGCCGGAGAUUCACUUUUUCUCGGCUAUUCCUGAGAAAGGUAGCAUAUCCAAGGAUGAUCUUGAGAGAAAGCUAGAUCCUUCUGUUUUCAAAAUAUAAAACAUACAAGCUGCUAAAAAGGGGUGGGUUGCAAUGGGAAAGCAAGUCUCUAGGAAUGUUCAACAUGUUGAAGAUAAAGUGAAGGAGUCUCUUCUACAAAUACAACAAGGACUAGUUUGUUUAUUCAGAACUAUUAUGUAGAAAUCUAAUCCAGCUUUUUAUAAUUUAUGAGACUAAGUUGGCCUUUCUCACUUUCAGGAACUUGACAAAGAAAGUCUCAGCUCUCUCAAAACCAGGAAACUCUUAGUAACACACGGAUGGACGGGAUAUUCUGAUGUUGAGAAAGGUCCUAAUUAUGCUCC